UACGUAGGGUGCAAGCGGUAUCCGGAAUCCUUGGGCGUAAAGAGCUCGUAGGCGGUUCAGCAAGUCGGUUGUGAAAGUCCGAGGCUUAACCUCGGAAUUGCAGUCGAUACUGUCGUGACUCGAGUCCGGUAGAGGAGAAUGGAAUUCCCGGUGUAGCGGUGAAAUGCGCAGAUAUCGGGAGGAACACCAGUAGCGAAGGCGGUUCUCUGGGCCGGCACUGACGCUGAGGAGCGAAAGCGUGGGGAGCGAACAGG
rnacentral:misc_RNA from 1 species